GACGAACGCUGGCGGCGUGCUUAACACAUGCAAGUCGAACGGAAAGGCCUGCUUUCCCUUGUGGAUUGCGGGUACUCGAGUGGCGAACGGGUAAGUAACACGUGAGUGAUCUGCCCCCAACUUGGUUAUAAGCCUGGGAAACUGGGUCUAAUUCCCGUUAGAACUGCAGGGUGCUGCCGUGGGUGGAAAACGUUUUUCUAGUGGUUGGGGAUGAGCUCCCGGCCUAUCAGCUUGUUGUUGGGGUAAUGGCCUACCAAGGCGGCGACGGGUAGCCGGCCUGAGAGGGGGGACGGCCACAUUGGGACUGAGAUACGGCCCAGACUCCUACGGGAGGCAGCAGUGGGGAAUAUUGCACAAUGGGCGGAAGCCUGAUGCAGCGACGCAGCGUGGGGGAUGACGGCCUUCGGGUUGUAAACUCCUUUCGACCGCGAGGAAGCCACCUGGUUGGAAGGGUGGUGACGGUAGUGGUAGAAGAAGCACCGGCUAACUACGUG
rnacentral:rRNA from 1 species